AAUGAAAGCGGAGGGGGUUGCUGGACUCUGGGGGAAGCGGAGAGCCGGGUUUCUUUUUACCGGGUAUUUUUGAGGCUCGAGAUUUAUUAAGCACUGACUGAGCCCUGUCAUAUUCCACGUCCUUGGCAGGGCACCGAAAAGGAUGACACAACGAAUGCAGACUACUCUGGAGAAGCUUGGCAAUGAGAGGGUCGAGAGAGGGGGUUUGUUGGUCCUUAGGUUUGUAAAGAAAGGAGAGGCUGGGAGAAAGGAGUCAGUGGAGAGGUCCCUGGGGAGGUAGGAUGCUCUGCAUGCGAUGCAGAACUCAGGAAAACGGAUUAAAUUUAGACUAGAGGCAGGUCACCUGUUAUUCCACUAAAACGGUAGGAAACAAGAACAUGCGUGCAGAUAUAUAGGGGGGAAGAAAAUCAGGGAGAUCGUUUGAUGACAUCGAUUUUAUGGGUGAAGUUAUGAGACAAGGAAGGAGACCAAGAAGAGCAAAGAAACUUUGGAAGAGGACGCUGAAGUUGGAAGGCCUGGUUUCAUGUGCCUCAUGUAUGUGUUGAUGGAUCACUUUUUUCUAGAACUCAGCCACCAGGCUGCAGUAGCAGAUAUUUUGAAUUAUAGCAUUUAUCCAGGGCUUGGGAUUGCAUUGCCCAAAAUAAAUUGAGGGUGCUAUGAGACGACAGCCCAGGCCAUCAAACGUGGGAUACAGACUGGCUAGGGACUGAUGGAGGAGCCACGAAACUGCAGGUCUCUGAUAAUUGAAGGCCAGUGCAGUGCAGGCAAUGUUGUGAGAGCUUGGUGGUUAAAGUGGCAAACAGGUUCAUAGUGAAGUAGCACCACGCCCGGCCAGCCCUUGUCUUUUGAGGGGACUCUUACUG
rnacentral:lncRNA from 1 species